GACGGGGGGGGCAAGUGUUCUUCGGAAUGACUGGGCGUAAAGGGCACGUAGGCGGUGAAUCGGGUUGAAAGUGAAAGUCGCCAAAAAGGGGCGGAAUGCUCUCGAAACCAAUUCACUUGAGUGAGACAGAGGAGAGUGGAAUUUCGUGUGUAGGGGUGAAAUCCGUAGAUCUACGAAGGAACGCCAAAAGCGAAGGCAGCUCUCUGGGUCCCUACCGACGCUGAGACGCGAAAGCGUGGGGAGCGAACAGG
rnacentral:rRNA from 1 species